rnacentral:tRNA from 1 species
UCUUCGGUCGUCCAAUGGGUCAGGAUACCGGCUUGUCAAAUCGAUGAUUAACCCAAAGACAGGUUCGAUUCCUUGCCGAAGAG